UACGUAGGGUGCAAGCGUUAAUCGGAAUUACUGGGCGUAAAGGCGUGCGCAGGCGGUUUUGUAAGUUUGUCGUGAAAUCCCGGGCUCAACCUGGGAAUGGCGAUGAAGACUGCAAGGCUAGAAUCUGGCAGAGGGGGGUAGAAUUCCACGUGUGAGCAGUGAAAUGCGUAGAUAGUUAGGAAAGACACCAGUGGCGAAGGCGGCCCAACUCGGAUCGGGUAG
rnacentral:rRNA from 1 species